CUCAGAAUUCUAUCGGUCAAUUUGACCAAAUGGUCAGCCGUUGCCCGUCCCUUCCGAAAACCCGUUUGAUAAGGUACGUAUAUAUUAUUAUCUUCAAGAAAUGUUUGCAGCCGCACAUUAACCAUUUUCUCUAGCAGUUUUCCCAAGCAAGACGUUAAACUAAUUGGGCGAUAACUUUGUGCCAGCAACGGAUCUUUUCCAGGUUUCGGUAUAGGAAUGACAACGGCCUGUUUCCAUUCCGAGGGGAGUACAGUGAUGAAACAUCUGGUUGUGGAUUUCGUCUUCUCCCGGUGAACAUGACUUGGUGUUACGGAUAGCGAUAUUCAACUCUUCUAAGACGACCACCACGGAACCAUUUUUGUUUUAUUGCCAGGUUUGGAUUUUGGAAUACUGGCG